rnacentral:rRNA from 1 species
AUGGACGCCGCCGACUCGUCGCCGAUGCACGUCGUCCUCUUCCCGUGGCUCGCGUUCGGUCACAUGCUCCCGUUCCUCGAGCUCGCGGAGCGCCUGGCGGCCCGCUGUCACCGCGUCUCCUUCGUCUCAACGCCGCGCAACAUCAGCCGGCUCCCGCCGGCAGUCGACGUCCACCUGGUGGCCCUGCCGCUCCCACGCGUGGAUGGCCUUCCCGAGGGAGCCGAGGCCACCACCGACCUCCCGCCCGGCAAGGGCGAGCUCCUACAGAAGGCUUCCGACGGCCUCGCCGGGCCAUUCUCCGCCUUACUAGACCGCGACAAGAAGCCGGACUGGGUCAUCGUCGACACAUUGCACUACCUAGCCGCCGCCGCCGCUGUCGACCGGGGCGUGCCAUCUGUGAUGUUCGCCACUUGCUCCUCCGCGUCGACCGCCCUCUGGGGCGUUCCGUGCAUGUCGAAGACUGUUAACCCGGAGCUAGGGGCUUCGCUAGGCCAGCGCUUCUUGUUAACCUACCAGAGCUGCAAGAUGGUGGCACAGCGGUGCUGCAUCGAGUUCGAUCCCGACAGCGUGGCUCUGCUGCCCGGCAUCUACGGCAAGCCGUUCGUCCCUCUCGGCCUGCUGCCGCCGCCGCUGAGGUCCAACGGAGACGACGCGCUCGUGUCGUGGCUCGACCGGCAGCCAGCGAAAUCCGUCGUCUACGUCGCGCUGGGAAGCGAGGCGCCGCUGAGCACGGAGCUAGUGCACGAGCUAGCCAUCGGCCUGGAGCUCGCCGGGGCGGCGUUCCUCUGGGCGCUGAGGAAGCCCAGCGGCGUCCCCGACGACGAGGUCCUUCCUCCGGGUUUCCAGGAGCGUACCAAACACCGCGGGCUCGUAACAAUGGGAAUGGCCCCGCAGACCAGGGUGCUAGCGCACGACUCCGUCAGCGCGUUCCUGACGCACUGCGGGUGGAGCUCCGCCAUCGAGGGGAUGCAGUAUGGACGCCCCCUUGUCAUGCUGCCAUUCUUCGGAGACCAAGGGCCAAUCGCUCGGCUAAUGGAGGGGAAGAAGGUUGGAUUGCCGGUGCCAAGGAACGGCAAGGAUGGAUCGUCUUUAGACCGAGAAGGCGUCGCGUCGGCGGUCCGGGCCGUCUUGGUGGAGGAAGAAGGUAGACGUGUCUUCGCGGCCAAUGCCAAGAAGCUCCAUCAGAUUGUCGCGGAUACUGCAUGCCAUAAGAUGUGCAUUGAUAAUUUCGUUCAGCAACUACGAUUCUACAAGGGGUAG